AAAAAAGUUACUAAGGGCGUACGGCGGAUGCCUAGGCUUUGAGAGGCGAUGAAGGACGUGAUAAGCUGCGAUAAGCUACGGGGAGCGGCACAUACGCAUUAAUCCGUAGAUUUCCGAAUGGGACAACCCGGCAUGUUGAAGACAUGUCACUGCGCAAGCAGAGCGAACGUUGGGAACUGAAACAUCUAAGUACCAAUAGGAAAAGAAAUCAAUUGAGAUUCCGUAAGUAGUGGCGAGCGAACGCGGAUUAGCCCUAAAGACUUUAUAAUUUUAGCAGAAUAACCUGGAAAGGUUAACCGAAGAGGGUGAUAGUCCUGUAAGCGAAAAGGUUAUAUAGUUGAUAACGAGUAAGGCGGAACACGAGAAAUUCUGUCCGAAUAUGGGAGGACCAUCUUCCAAGGCUAAAUACUCCUCAAAGACCGAUAGUGAACUAGUACUGUGAAGGAAAGGUGAAAAGCAUAUCGAAUAGAUAGUUGAAAUAGAACCUGAAACCGUACGCCUACAAGCGGUCGGAGCUCUACGGAGUGACGGCGUGCCUUUUGCAUAAUGAGCCUACGAGUUAAUGUCACUGGCAAGGUUAAGUACUUCAGGUACGGAGCCGAAGCGAAAGCGAGUCUGAAUAGGGCGAUGCAGUCAGUGGUAUUAGACGCGAAACCUUGUGAUCUACCCAUGGGCAGGUUGAAGCUUUGGUAACACAAAGUGGAGGACCGAACCGGUUGACGUUGAAAAGUCUUCGGAUGACCUGUGGGUAGGGGUGAAAGGCCAAUCAAACUGGGAAAUAGCUCGUACUCCCCGAAAUGCAUUUAGGUGCAGCGUUUAGUAAAGUAUAUUAGAGGUAGAGCUACUGAUUGGAUGCGGGGGCUUCACCGCCUACCAAUUCCUGACAAACUCCGAAUGCUAAUAUAUGUUUCUAGGCAGUGAGGGCAUGGGUGCUAAGGUCCAUGUCCGAGAGGGAAAGAACCCAGACCAUCAGCUAAGGUCCCCAAAUAUAUGCUAAGUUGAAAAAACGCGGUUGGAUUGCAUAGACAGCUAGGAUGUUAGCUUGGAAGCAGCUAUUCAUUUAACGAGUGCGUAACAGCUCACUAGUCGAGCGAUCCGGCAUGGAUAAUAAUCGGGCAUAAGCAUAUUACCGAAGCUAUGGAUUACAUCUUUUGAUGUACUGGUAGGGGAGCAUUCUAUCGACGUUGAAGUCACCUGGUAAUGGGUGGUGGAGUUUAUAGAAAAGAAAAUGUAGGCAUGAGUAACGAUAAAAUAAGUGAGAAACUUAUUCGCCGUAAGACUAAGGUUUCCUAAGCUAUGCUAAUCAGCUUAGGGUUAGUCGGGACCUAACACGAACCCGAAGGGGGUAGUGGAUGGCAAACGGGUUAAUAUUCCCGUACCUGCUCUCAACAAAAGUGACGGAUGAUUGUAGGUGGUGCGUACUGACGGAAUAGUACGUUGAACUUAGGUAAACUAAGGAUAGUACACCAAGGCUUCGGCUGGCGUGAUAAUCCACUGAAAAUUGUCCCUAGAAAUAGCGAGAGAAGCAGCCCGUACCGUAAACCGACACAGGUGGUCGAGGAGAGUAUCCUAAGGCGCUCGAGUGAGUCAUGGUUAAGGAAUUAGGCAAAAUAGUCUCGUAACUUCGGGAGAAGAGACGCUGGCGCAAGUCAGCCGCAGUAAAAAGGCCCAGGCGACUGUUUAUCAAAAACACAGGACUCUGCAAAAUCGAAAGAUGACGUAUAGGGUCUGACACCUGCCCGGUGCUGGAAGGUUAAGGAAGGGGGUUAGAAGCAAUUCGAAGCUCUUAACUGAAGCCCCAGUAAACGGCGGCCGUAACUAUAACGGUCCUAAGGUAGCGAAAUUCCUUGUCGGGUAAGUUCCGACCUGCACGAAUGGUGUAACGAUCUGGGCACUGUCUCAACCAUGAGCUCGGUGAAAUUGUAGUAUCGGUGAAGAUGCCGGUUAAUCGCAACGGGACGAAAAGACCCUGUGAACCUUUACUAUAGCUUUGUAUUGACUUCGGGUAAAUAAUGUGUAGGAUAGGUGGGAGACUAUGAAGGAGCAUCGCUAGGUGUUUUGGAGUCAUUGUUGAAAUACCACCCUUUAUUUACUUGGAGCCUAACUUC
rnacentral:rRNA from 2 species